UAUUUGUAUUUUCUUAUUUAUUAUUAUUAUUAUUGUUAUUAUUUUGAGAUCCCAACUUGAUGGUGUUUGGGGUUAAGUUAGCACUGUCUGUAGUAUGUCUAAGAGCUGCCAGUAGAUAACACAGAAACCUGGGGGGUUAUAUCUGCCUCCUCAUCAUGUCCUCCCUCCCUUCCCAGUGUGAGUCCAAGGGUUCAUCUUUCAUCUUGAAAAGCAAUAUUCAAGUGCCUUGAACAGCGCUCCCUCAUGUGGUGACCUUCCGCUGGCUGGAGAUCCAAGCAGUAGCUCCCACAGACAGCCAACCAUCCUCUUUAUACUCUCAGCUUAAAAAGCUGAAUUGUACUUCUCCCCAAGGGGAAAAAAUGGUUCCAUAUAAAACACUAACACUUCAUCACAAGCCACUGUUCCAUUUCAAAUGCCUUUUUCUUAAUUAGAGGCAGUAAUCCUAACUAGGCCAUUACCCAGUUGGCUAAGUGGGAGCCUGGUGUAAAAUCCAUGUUCACAUCAAGCCCUCUUGACACCUCUUGAUUCAUGCCAAGUCCCCUUAUGGCAUCCGAAGUGGCAGGAAUAUGAGUUCUUAGACAUCUGCCCACUCACUUCCACUCUGACCUGGCUCCCAAUCACCACCUCCUUGAAACAAUAGUCAGUUGAGAUGUCUGACCACUGUGUACUAGACCUCUCUCUUUAAAAAUAAAAUUAAAUUUAUAAAUGCAGGCACUUAGCUGAAGUCGAUAUCUUCCUAGCUAGCCACCCUGAAAAAUAUCACACCUUGAAGUGGCUUAUCCCGGGUUCGAAUCAGGGCAGAGUCCUGGGGAUAUAGUAUUAGGUGCUGGGCCACACCACUCUGAAAAAUGAGGCAAGAGGACAGCUGUCAGUCUCCGUGCACAGAUGCUUCUGCUUGCAAAGCUCAGGUGUCCGUCUCCUUAGUAAUCUUCCCUCUGAUGGGCAUCUCUUUCCUCCUUGUUGAAAGUCAGAUCUGGUAGAUGGCUCAGAGUAUAGCAGGGCUGUGAGCUGAGUGUUCCUCUGGACUCUUGUGGCCAACAGAGUCCCCGCCUGUGGCCAUGCCAUAGACCUACAUGGCCAUUCUUCUCUACAGCCAGGGCCAUGUUGAGCUGUGGAGCUUAUAAGCAAGCUCAGCAGGAGGCAGCCCGCAUCUAGUGCAAAGGAGGCAUGCUCUAGGCAUCAGCUAAGCACCCAAGGUUGUGUAGCUGUGAAAGCCCCAGAGCUGGGGAGUCCAAAUGCUGAUGCUGGAGAUGCCCUCCCUGCCUCAGCAAGACUGGCUCUUUGUCCUUUCGGAGCUGUGUUCUCUUACAGCUCGGUGGGCUCUAGGGACCCUUGGGAUAUAUGAUUCCCAUCACAUGCUUCUGCUCUCUGUCAGAUCCCUGAGGCUGGGAGCCAUCCUUGCAGAGGAGAUGGGGUAGAGCAAAGGUCAAGAACACAUUGAGGGAAUGGAAGGCUCUUGGCUUUGUUCCUCCUGUCCUUCAAUGUCUCCCCUUUCUGUUCUCUUCUACCUCACCACUUGAUGUCACCCAGAAUUGUGAGGGAAGUGACCUGGGGGUGGGGGUGGGGGGAGGGGUGGCUUAAGAGGCUACAAGCUAGACCGAUCAUCUCAUCUUGCUUGGCAGGUGUGCUUUUUGCCUCCUUCAAAGAAUACAUCCAGAAGUGGUGUCUGGAGUCUGCUAAGCACAGGAAUUUUCCUCUUGGCUUCCAGCUGUUCUUGAAAUUCCAGCAGCUGUUGGGUCUGUAGACAGGAGUGGUCUCCAGCCUCAGAAAUUCUUGCCUUUUGCUCUGCCUUCCCGCACAGCUGUCAGACUCCAUCACAGCCAUUCCUUUGGUCUUGGCUUAUCCCCAAAUACUAUGAGCACACUUCCCCAGGAACUGUGGCUGUCCGAGUCUCUCGUCCCUAGACCUUGCCAUGAGCUCUGCUUUACAAACACAGCUCUGUCCAGGACAGAAAAGGUUGGACAGAAUUCUUCCCCAUGCAUGCUUGGUCUCUACUUCCCAAAAGAACACUCCAGUUUCUGUUCCCUGUGGGAGGCAAGCAGCUCCCGAGACAGCAGUGGGUCUGGGCCAUACUGCUCCAGAGUGUACCUGUAGCACGUAGGGAACUUUUAUUUUGUUGUUCCCAUCAUGAAUGUCAAAGUCACUAGGCACAGCUGCCACUGCAGAUUUUCUGAAACUGAAUCAGGGGAAGGCUUUAUGGCCACUUUAACCCAGGUGGGCUGAGACUCUCAAGUGGCUAGGUUCCUACCAGUAGACUUGGAUGCUAAGAGAAUGGGCUGAUGAGAAAUUUUCAUUCUGCCCAUGCUUUUUAGAUGGAAAGUGAGGGUAGGAACAAGCUCCUUAGUAAAAGAUACAACCCCAAGACCUCAGGCUCAGCCAGUGGAAGAAGACAGUUGAACAGCAAGGGAAAAGCCAGGAUCCCCCUGUGUACCGCUUAAGGACCUGCUGCUUCACCGAACCCCCGCCCCACCCCCGUGCCCACCCCUACUCCUCUCCUGCUACCUUCCCUCCAAAGAUUCCAUGGCCACGUCUUCAGUGGCAUAUCGAGUUUUCAUUUUUGGACAAAGUGACAUUUAGCUUUAACAAGACAUUUCCAAAGCUCCUGGUCUCCUUUGAAAUGCUGACUUUAAAAGUUCAGCAUUGUUGCCAAGAAUGGGGGUGGGGGGGGCUAAUGAAAGAAAGACGUUAGAUUAUGCAUGAAUGUGCACGCCCCAACCCUCGGUUAUUCAAAUUUCAAAUGCCUUUGAGUUGCUCUUCAUAGAUGGGUUUAUUUUGCUCAUGUUAAGUAGUCUGUUACUGUAAUUUUUGUAGUAUUCUGGCUUUAAUUUCUACCACAAAUAUGCUAUGUACUAAGCUUUCUGUGAUCAGAAAGGAAAGGUGCCUUAAAUCCCAAUACCACGCCUCUAUCCCUAUGGAGAAUAUGUCAGAAGCACAGCGCCAGGAAGCAUUGGGACUUCCGUUGGCAAAAUAGGACACCAUUCAGCAAGACACAUCCGAGUGGCACGGCACGGGGCUGCUUUUGUUUGCUAAUUCCUUUUUUGUUUUUUAACUCCCAACCCAUAAUUAUCUUUUAUUUGUUGUUUGUUUUAUUUUUUUUUUUUUUUGUAGUUCGCUUUAAACAGGAAGCACUUAAUAGAUGGCUCUGUGUCGAAGCUCUGUGCAAUGGAAAUCACGUUGCUUUGGUGGGGGGGGGGUGUUUUGUUUUUCUUUUCUUUUUGAAAAAAGAUAGCGUUAUUGCACACCAAAUGAACUCCUAAGUAAGCUUUAGAACCAGGAUCGAUUCAGGUCGUGGAUGGGUAUGUUCACUGUAGUUCUGUGUGUUCACGAACCAACGGGCAAGCUGGCCUCCCUUGGCCAUUGAGGCUCAGCCCUGAGCCCUGGGUCAUGGCUGCCUGGGUUUCAGCCGCAGGGAACUUUCCUGGAUGUCUGGCCCCACAGUCGACCCUUGAAGCACUUAACCCUCUCUUUGUGGAGAUAGACCAACUGCUACUGAUCUGUCAGCGUACUCGAGGGUGAUUAUAAAAGGAUGUUUCUUU
rnacentral:lncRNA from 1 species